AUUGAACGCUGGCGGCAGGCUUAACACAUGCAAGUCGAGCGAGCGGCGGACGGGUGAGUAAUGUCUGGGAAACUGCCUGAUGGAGGGGGAUAACUACUGGAAACGGUAGCUAAUACCGCAUACCAUCAGAUGUGCUCAGCUGGGAUUAGCUAGUAGGUGGGGUAAGGGCUCACCUAGGCGACGUUCCCUAGCCGGUCAGAGAGGAUGACCGGCGACACUGGAACUGGAGCACGGUCCAGACACCUACGGGAGGCAGCAGUAGGGAAUAUUGAACAGUGGGCGCAAGCGUGAGGCAGCCAUGACGCGUGUGUGAAGAAGGCCUUUGGGUUGUAAAGCACUUUCAGCGAGGAGGCGUUACGCGCAGAAGAAGCACCGGCUAACUCCGUGCCAGCAGCCGCGGUAAUUC
rnacentral:rRNA from 1 species